rnacentral:rRNA from 1 species
CUUCGGGUCUUGGGAUCAUAAUAACUUACGAAUCGCAUGGCCUUGUGCCGGCGAUGGUUCAUUCAAAUUUCUGCCCUAUCAACUUUCGAUGGUAGAGUAGUGGUCUACCAUGGUUUCAACGGGUAACGGGGAAUUAGGGUUCUAUUCCGGAGAGGGAGCCUGAGAAACGGCUACCACAUCCAAGGAAGGCAGCAGGCGCGCAAAUUACCCAAUCCCGACACGGGGAGGUAGUGACAAUAAAUACUGAUACAGGGCUCUUUUGGGUCUUGUAAUUGGAAUGAGUACAAUUUAAAUCCCUUAACGAGGAACAAUUGGAGGGCAAGUCUGGUGCCAGCAGCCGCGGUAAUUCCAGCUCCAAUAGCGUAUAUUAAAGUUGUUGCAGUUAAAAAGCUCGUAGUUGAACCUUGGGCCUGGCUGGCCGGUCCGCUCACCGCGUGCACUGGUCCGGCCGGGCCUUUCCUUCUGGGGAGCCGAUGCCCUUCACUGGGUGUGUCGGGGAACCAGGACUUUUACUUUUGAAAAAAUUAGAGUGUUCAAAGCAAGGCCUAUGCUCGAAUACAUUAGCAUGGAAUAAUAGAAUAGGACGUGUUGGGUUCUAUGGAGGUUCCUAGGACCGCCGGUAAUUGAUUAAUAGGGAUAGUCG